rnacentral:rRNA from 1 species
UACGUAGGUGGCAAGCGUUAUCCGGAAUUAUUGGGCGUAAAGAGCGCGCAGGUGGUUGAUUAAGUCUGAUGUGAAAGCCCACGGCUUAACCGUGGAGGGUCAUUGGAAACUGGUCGACUUGAGUGCAGAAGAGGGAAGUGGAAUUCCAUGUGUAGCGGCGAAAUGCGUAGAGAUAUGGAGGAACACCAGUGGCGAAGGCGGCUUCCUGGUCUGUAACUGACACUGAGGCACGAAAGCGUGGGGAGCAAACAGGAUUAGAUA